rnacentral:rRNA from 1 species
GAGGAAUAUUGGUCAAUGGACGGAAGUCUGAACCAGCCAAGUAGCGUGCAGGAUGACGGCCCUAUGGGUUGUAAACUGCUUUUGUAUGGGGAUAAAGCCAAUCACGUGUGAUUGUUUGCAGGUACCAUACGAAUAAGGACCGGCUAAUUCCGUGCCAGCAGCCGCGGUAAUACGGAAGGUCCGGGCGUUAUCCGGAUUUAUUGGGUUUAAAGGGAGCGUAGGCCGGAGAUUAAGUGUGUUGUGAAAUGUAGACGCUCAACGUCUGACUUGCAGCGCAUACUGGUUUCCUUGAGUACGCACAACGUUGGCGGAAUUCGUCGUGUAGCGGUGAAAUGCUUAGAUAUGACGAAGAACUCCGAUUGCGAAGGCAGCUGACGGGAGCGCAACUGACGCUUAAGCUCGAAGGUGCGGGUAUCGAACAGGAUUAGAUACCCUGGUAGUCCGCACAGUAAACGAUGGAUGCCCGCUGUUGGUACCUGGUAUCAGCGGCUAAGCGAAAGCAUUAAGCAUCCCACCUGGGGAGUACGCCGGCAACGGUG